UACGCAGGGUGCAAGCGUUAAUCGGAAUUACUGGGCGUAAAGCGUGCGCAGGCGGUUGUGCAAGACAGGUGUGAAAUCCCCGGGCUUAACCUGGGAACUGCACUUGUGACUGCACGGCUGGAGUACGGCAGAGGGGGAUGGAAUUCCGCGUGUAGCAGUGAAAUGCGUAGAUAUGCGGAGGAACACCAGUGGCGAAGGCGGCUCACUGGACCGGUACUGACGCUGAGGCGCGAAAGCGUGGGGAGCAAACGGG
rnacentral:rRNA from 1 species